ACGCUCGACACCUACGGGAGGCAGCAGUGGGGAAUAUUGGGCAAUGGGCGCAAGCCUGACCCAGCAACGCCGCGUGAAGGAAGAAGGCUUUCGGGUUGUAAACUUCUUUUGUCAGGGACGAAGCAAGUGACGGUACCUGACGAAUAAGCUCCGGCUAACUACGUGCCAACAGCCGCGGUAAUCUGAGCGGGCUGGCAAGGC
rnacentral:rRNA from 1 species